GACGUAGGGGACGAGCGUUGUCCGGAUUCAUUGGGCGUAAAGCGCGCGUAGGCGGCCACGCAAGUCGGGUGUGAAAUCCCGGGAGCUACAACCUCCGGAACUGCACUCGAAACUGCGCGGCUUGAGGUAGGUAGGGGAGAUCGGAAUUCCUGGUGUAGCGGUGGAAUGCGCAGAUAUCAGGAGGAACACCGGUGGCGAAGGCGGAUCUCUGGGCCUUACCUGACGCUGAGACGCGAAAGCCAGGGAGCGAACGGG
rnacentral:rRNA from 1 species